CACAAACGAAAAGGACUUCCGUAGAUUCGAAUCCCAGCACUCACACGCUCACUUUAACAAAUAUUACUUUUCUAAAAGUACAAUAUAGAAGCUGAAAUUAGUUAGUAAAUCUCUUAAAGAACUCGAAAUUACAAAUUUCGGACUAGCCGAUUGAGGCGCCCAUACACAUGGCGCCAAAGCUGGCCGAUAAACCGGCUAUAUACUGUGGUAGGACCGAUCCCUUGGACAUGUUGUGUUCUGUUCUGUUCUCCGUGAUGCAAAAAAAUGGAACUGAAACUGACACGCAGACCGUUAUUUGGCUUGACAAAUUGCUCUGCAUGAGAUAACCAAAGCGUCGACGCUGGCGUACAACUGGCACGCUGGCAGAGGGGGAAAUACUUGAAGUUGGAGAGAGUCGUAAAUCAGAUUCUACAGUUUCCCUUUAGAACGGCGGCGGAGGCAGAGGUGUGGAAAGCGCGCUUUAACGUAAGCAAAAGUCCC